rnacentral:hammerhead_ribozyme from 1 species
AUUCAGCUGAUGAGUCCUAAAUAGGACGAUACGCGCGUUAUGGAU